UACGAAGGGGGCUAGCGUUGCUCGGAAUGACUGGGCGUAAAGGGCGCGUAGGCGGUUUGUACAGUCGGAUGUGAAAUUCCUGGGCUCAACCUGGGGGCUGCAUUUGAUACGUAUGGACUGGAGUGAGGAAGAGGGUCGUGGAAUUCCCAGUGUAGAGGUGAAAUUCGUAGAUAUUGGGAAGAACACCGGUGGCGAAGGCGGCGACCUGGUCCUUUACUGACGCUGAGGCGCGAAAGCGUGGGGAGCAAACAGG
rnacentral:rRNA from 1 species